UAAGUUACAUCUCGAGAGCCAGUAAGUUACAUGGCAUUCUAGCUAAAAAUACAGGCUUCUUCCUCCCGGCUCCAGUGCACCACAGAGACCCUGCGCUGGCCAGCUACUAAUGGAAUUUCUUCAUUUUCUCUCCAUUAUUAUGUCAGACGGGAUAGUUAAUACGGAGCCGUCUCCGGAGGGAAGCAGACUGCUGCCAAGAGAAGGGGGUGGGUCAGAGCUGCAGGUGCUGUCCUGAAAAUGGGAGAGAGGAAAAGUCCGGCAGAUGCAUAAAGAAAUCGUAUACGUCCAAUGGAGAAGUCGAGCCCCGAGCUGCAUGGCUCUCCUGCAUGUCUCCUUCUUCCUACACACCCUAAAUGACAGAACGAAGGGGCCCUGGAGUCUGCUAAGAUGCCCAGGACUUGACAGGGAGUUGGAACCCAGUGGUAUUCCAUAUGAAGACUGAUGCCAAAACCACCCUUGGAAAGCAAAGAGUUAACAGAUUCCGAGCUUGUACACCAAUACUAGCCCAUUAGUUCCAGGAAGAAUUAUCAAAUACUCUACUGCCUGACUUUUUCUAUAUCCUGAUGAGUAAUGCUCUGAGCCUACACUUUU